rnacentral:pre_miRNA from 1 species
AACCUUCUGUAUCCAUGCCGAGAUUUCGUCACACAUUAGACCACAAGGGCUGAUGAAACUUCCAAGAUAAGUGAAGCU